rnacentral:rRNA from 1 species
ACCAUCCAGAGAAUUUAGCAGAGAUGCUUUAGUGCCUUCGGGAACUCUGAGACAGGUGCUGCAUGGCUGUCGUCAGCUCGUGUUGUGAAAUGUUGGGUUAAGUCCCGNAACGAGCGCAACCCUUAUCCUUUGUUGCCAGCACGUAAUGGUGGGAACUCAAAGGAGACUGCCGGUGAUAAACCGGAGGAAGGUGGGGAUGACGUCAAGUCAUCAUGGCCCUUACGAGUAGGGCUACACACGUGCUACAAUGGCGCAUACAAAGAGAAGCGACCUCGCGAGAGCAAGCGGACCUCAUAAAGUGCGUCGUAGUCCGGAUUGGAGUCUGCAACUCGACUCCAUGAAGUCGGAAUCGCUAGUAAUCGUAAAUCAGAAUGUUACGGUGAAUACGUUCCCGGGCCUUGUACACACCGCCCGUCACACCAUGGGAGUGGGUUGCAAAAGAAGUAGAUAGCUUAACCUUCGGGAGGGCGUUUACCACUUUGUGAUUCAUGACUGGGGUGAAGUCGUAACAAGGUAAGCGUAGUGCU